UACACUUUAAAUCGUUUAUUUAAAAGGAAAUAAGAAAAGUAUGAACAAUUUCACAUUAUUUAAAAGGAAAUAAGUAAAAGUAUGAACUAUUUCACAAUUUUUUUCUAAGACUGCUUUAGGAAAUAGUGAAUAAUUUAUAGUGAAAACAAGAUUAUUAUAUGUCCUUCUUCACAAAACAGGAAACAAUUCACAUAAUACUAUGAACCUCUUGCUGAAACCAAAUUCGUUAUAAAUGCUGUAAUUAUAUUUGUGUCUAGCAUUCAGUUACAAUUUGCAUGCUUCUUACUCUAAGAAAAUAUAAACGGACAUUUUCAUGGAGGAGGGGGGAAGAAGAGAGAGCCAGAGCGUAUCAGAGUUAGUAUAUAAAAAGUAUAUGCUAUAAAAUGGUUGCAGACUUGAUUAGGGUUUCUUGGAGCUGCAGCAUGCAUGUAUAUAAGUUAGUAAUACUAAGAAAAAAGAAAUCAAACCAGUAGUAAAAUUCAUUUUUAUCUUCAUGAAUUGAAGUAUUUCCUCUCCUGUGCUUUUGUAGUCAGUCCUUCAUACAUUUUUUUCCCAAAUAUCUGAGUGGAUUACCCACUUCCAUUAAUUUUCUAAUUUUAUCUGUCAAAUAUACUCUUCAAUUUCCUUAACUUUUUAAUAAGUCUAUGCAUGAAAAUACAUCUCACUGGAAAUUGCUUCUGCGGGAUGCUAUAAUAGAUGCUUGUCAGGUAUAUUGUAUAAAAAAGGUUUUAUUUCUCAGUGUAAACUGACACAAUUAGGAUACUACAAAGUAGAAUGUAAUUCAUGUUUUAUGCAGAGGUCCUCUGAAGGAGGAGAACUCUGUGUAACUCCUUACUAUACAAUAUGGUAUCUGACUUUUUUUUUCUCUGAAGCAAGCUCUUAUAUUGAAAAACAUUUUAUAGAACAAGUAUUUUCCACUCGACAGGGUUAAACUUUAUUAGCCUUUGGUAAUGGUCUUUUCUGAAGGAUAAUUAAUAUGUGAUCAGCAACAGCUCCGAGGAAACUGGACAUCAUUUUUAACGUCUAACUGAAUUACAUAAAUUAGCCUUUAUCUUUGUGAGCAGGCUUCUCAUCAGCGCGUGUUUCAUUAGCUGUCUGCAUCCCUUACAUGUCAGCUAGCCAUUGAUCACCCUCUGGAAAGGACCAUUGGAAUCAUUUAAGAUGGGUUACUUCUCAAGUGAGAUGGUUCUGAAAUUGAAAAUAGUGAAUACGCAGUUCUCCAGAUUUCAGAAGUGACAAAGUGCCAGGAACCAGACUGAGCUACCCUUGAGUAGUAGAAGGGACAAGAGACGCUAAUUGAGAAACCUUUCUACAUAGGUACCUAGUCCAAAAUCUUUCAGGCUGGAGGAGAAUUAGUGUGAACUGAUCAUUGUGGUGUUCCCCUGAGAAAUAGCUUUGUAGGUUUGGUCUAAUUGUAAGAGCAUAAGCAUGACUCCUGCAGCAAAACCCACAUAGGUGCACAAGAAGUUCACCUAGCUCAGUGCUGAGUCUGGUCAAUGAGGACUGAAGAGCAAAACUAUCCUCGGCAUGUCUGAGUGCCAGGCCAGAAGUUCUGAAGAGGAAUAACAUUCAAUACCUAGUAACACAUUAGAAAAGCCUAUGGGCUUAUUCUUUGCUUUAUUUUCAUUACUCCAACUACUGAGCUAGCAAAAAAAAUAAAAAAUAAAAAAUAAAAAAUAAAAAAUAAAAUUGGUGGUAAAUUUCUUUUAUUCUCUCAGAAUUUUCAGAAGAAAAGUCCACGUAAUUACAUUGGCAUCCUUUAAAAAUAAUACUUCAGAGUUAUAAACCACUUCAGAAAACUGAGGAUCUGAGCCAAUUCCCAUAUUGGACUUUUACAACACCCACACACACCUACCCUUUCCGCUGCUCAAUACAGUGGCUCCAAGGCAGUGUAGGAAGAUAGAAACAAUUGCUAUUUACUUAGUAUACUUUUAAUUGUGUUGUUUUUUUUUUCCCCCCUUUCUCUCUUUCAAAUGAGCCUUUUACGAUUCUGGGAUACGAUAAGCCACUUUUACAACUUUAAACUAUCUCGUUAGUUCAUUCCUUUUUUUUCCUCAUGGUAAUACACAUUAUACAAGUAAUAUGCAUCACAGAAUAUUAGGCAGCUCUUUAUUUCUUUGUUAGGUUCAAGAAUGAUAUACAUUUUCAAUUUCUUUUGAAUGAAUGUUAGAAACUGACAGCUAUAUUUGUUUUUCACUAUGUAAAGUGAAUGUUAACGGUUCACAGCCUGAUUUAUUUCUUUCUGUUCUUUCCAUACUAGGCUAUUUCAAUUGUAAAAUAUUGGCCUGUUUUAGCUUGGGUGAACUAUACUUGACUAUAACAAGUCUUCUGCCUUUGACAUUUUAAAAUAAAUAAGUAAUGGUAAUAUUUCAGAGGAAGAAACUUUUACAAGAGGUUUAAAUCUCUACAGGUUUACCCAAACUACCCCUUACGGAUCUCUAGAAGUAAAGAUACAAAGAAUGGGAAGCUUUACAGGGCUGCCAGGAUUGCAGAGAUGUUAGUCUUUCUUCAGAGAAUUGAACGUUGUGAAAAGUAGAAGAACGUGUCUUUUUUGUUUAAGAAAGUUUUCAGAGUUGUUCUCUACUAAUGCCACAAUUUCAAUCAAAAUGAUAACAGAGGUUUUAGACAUAAAAGAUGUUUGAAAUAUAUAAACUACUCUAAUAAUACAUCAGGUGAGAGAAGAGGGUAUGAUGAGAAUGAGGAGGGGCAUUACAAUAAUUACUUGUCAAAAGCUCUUCCUGCAUAAACAGUUAUAUUUGUGCUUCUCAUAUGACAAGACCAAAAGCUACUCCUCCACAGCAGCUUUUUCAGAAGACUUGUUGAUAUCAGAGGAGUUAAGAUAACUAAACUAAGGUUAAAAUCAUACUGACUUCAAAUGUUGAUAUAAGAAAAAGUCAGCUGUUGUGAACAGGUGCUAUGUAGUCAUAGGCUCUGGAAGUCUCUAACAUAAACAACAACCUAAUAAAAUCUCACCCAAGUCGUUUCCCUUAAAACAGGAAGAUUAAAAAAAAAAAAAAAAAAAAACAGGCUGAAUCUACAUGAAGCUUUUUUCUGAAGUGCAUGAUAGGAUAUAGUGCUUCCAUGUGAACAUUACAGACCAGCAGUCCUAACAAUAGAUAUUUUUUCCAUGAUACCACACUAUCAACUUCACAAGUUCUGCAUCAGUGGAAUUCUGAUCAGGGUACCCAUUCUACCCACACACACGUGCGCACACACACACACACA
ensembl:lncRNA